rnacentral:lncRNA from 13 species
CUAGUGUGUGUAAUAUACAUUAUUCUGGGAGUCUAGUGUGUGUAAUAUAAAUUAUUUACAGUUCACUGUUGUAAAACCUAUUUACAAGAUAUUUACAGAUGUUCACUGUUGGGAUCCCAGACCAUCCAGGAUCCCAGACCGUCUGGUGAGGGGCACCCAGGAUUCCAGACCGUUCGGUGAGGGGCACCCAGGAUCCCAGACCGUCUGGUGAGGGGCACCCAGGAUCCCAGACCGUCUGGUGAGGCACCCAGGAUCCCAGACCGUCUGGUGAGGGGCACCCAGGAUCCCAGACCCUGUGACCACAAAGCCCUGACUCUUGCACAUCCAUCCCUGUAGCCAUUUUGAAUUCCUUGAUGCCCCUCCCUCUUUGUCAUCUGUCCCCCACUUUAUAGACAGUUUUUGUCCCCAUAAACUUUUAAUUAAUAACUUGGGAUUUUAACACUUGACAUAGCAAUNNNNNNNNNNUCCCUCCUUUCCUCGUGGUUGGCAUGACAACGACUUGGAAUGAUCGCACAAACGGACUGGUAGCUCACCAGCAGCCUGUCUAGACCACUGGGGUGAAACUGUGUUGGCCAUGUGUUCUGAGUGGUGGGACAGACCUGCCCCCCCCCCCCCUGUUACUAGAGGUGUGUUGGGGUCCUGAGGCCUAGAAACCUUCCUGUAUAGUAGCCCCUCACCUCUCAAGCGACUGUGG